CUGCUCAGAUGAACGCUGGCGGCAGGCCUAACACAUGCAAGUCGAGCGGUAGAGAGAAGCUUGCUUCUCUUGAGAGCGGCGGACGGGUGAGUAAUGCCUAGGAAUCUGCCUGGUAGUGGGGGAUAACGUUCGGAAACGGACGCUAAUACCGCAUACGUCCUACGGGAGAAAGCAGGGGACCUUCGGGCCUUGCGCUAUCAGAUGAGCCUAGGUCGGAUUAGCUAGUUGGUGAGGUAAUGGCUCACCAAGGCGACGAUCCGUAACUGGUCUGAGAGGAUGAUCAGUCACACUGGAACUGAGACACGGUCCAGACUCCUACGGGAGGCAGCAGUGGGGAAUAUUGGACAAUGGGCGAAAGCCUGAUCCAGCCAUGCCGCGUGUGUGAAGAAGGUCUUCGGAUUGUAAAGCACUUUAAGUUGGGAGGAAGGGUUGUAGAUUAAUACUCUGCAAUUUUGACGUUACCGACAGAAUAAGCACCGGCUAACUCUGUGCCAGCAGCCGCGGUAAUACAGAGGGUGCAAGCGUUAAUCGGAAUUACUGGGCGUAAAGCGCGCGUAGGUGGUUUGUUAAGUUGGAUGUGAAAUCCCCGGGCUCAACCUGGGAACUGCAUUCAAAACUGACUGACUAGAGUAUGGUAGAGGGUGGUGGAAUUUCCUGUGUAGCGGUGAAAUGCGUAGAUAUAGGAAGGAACACCAGUGGCGAAGGCGACCACCUGGACUAAUACUGACACUGAGGUGCGAAAGCGUGCGGAGCAAACAGGAUUAGAUACCCUGGUAGUCCACGCCGUAAACGAUGUCAACUAGCCGUUGGAAGCCUUGAGCUUUUAGUGGCGCAGCUCACGCAUUAAGGUUGACUGACAAGGGGAGUACGGCCGCACGGUUAAAAUUCAACGCAGUGUGAGAAAAAAGAA
rnacentral:rRNA from 1 species